UCUUGCUAUGUGUGUGUUGGAGAAUUCAAUUAUAGAGAGAGAAAAAUGGGUGUAUCAUUGUGCUGGAGCCGUGAGCUCAUUUGUCUCAUGUUGAGAAUCAGUUGUAGAGAGAGAGAGAGAGAAAGAGAGAGAGAAAAAGAGUUAUAGAGAGAGAAGUAAAGAACUUAAAUGUUGUGCUGGAAUUGAUGAAGUUAAGAGGGAAAUCAUCUUCAUAUAUCUGAAAUUGAUGCCUUAGAUUGGACAUCCGGGGUGUUAUAUUCGAGUCAAAACCAUUGCGAGUAAUAUCUCUGUAAAGAUAUAUUCGAAAUAUGUUUUGAAAAUCAUUAUACGAAUCAUGUUUAUGAAAUUUUAUUUUUAUAUGAAUGAAUAAAUGUCCCUUUUGAAGUGUAUUCUUGGCAUCCAUUAACAAGGGCCUCGCCCGGAGGAAACAAUAUAGUGGUCCUUUGCUAAUAAGGCUCUUGCUCGAGGGGAAACAAUACCUCGAGGGGAAACAAUACCGUGAGAGAGUUGUGAGGUUCUUUUUUCUUUUUCUUUUUUUUUCUUUUAUUUAUAUUUUAUUGUAAUAUUUUUAUCCCUUUUCCUCCCUUAUUCAGAUAUGUAAUAUUCAAGUGUUGUAAUAA